AGUAAAGUCAGCUAAUUUAAGCUUUUAGGCCCAUACCCUAAAAAUGUUGGUUAAAACCCUUCCCUUACUA
rnacentral:tRNA from 1 species